UAAUACGGAGGGCGCAAGCGUUACUCGGAAUCACUGGGCGUAAAGAGCGUGUAGGCGGAUUGAUAAGUCAGAAGUGAAAUCCAAUAGCUUAACUAUUGAACUGCUUUUGAAACUGUUAAUCUAGAGUGUGGGAGAGGUAGAUGGAAUUUCUGGUGUAGGGGUAAAAUCCGUAGAGAUCAGAAGGAAUACCGAUUGCGAAGGCGAUUUACUGGAACAUAACUGACGCUGAGACGCGAAAGCGUGGGGAGCAAACAGGAUUAGAUACCCUGGUAGUCCACGCCCUAAACGAUGUACACUAGUUGUUGCUAUGCUCGACAUGGCAGUAAUGCAGUUAACACAUUAAGUGUACCGCCUGGGGAGUACGGUCGCAAGAUUA
rnacentral:rRNA from 1 species